CCCCGUACAACCCAAACUGUUAACCUUCAAUACUGCUUUGUACUUACGAUCUCGUAUCUACUGACUGUCUUGUUAGAUUAACCCAGUAAAUUUCAUUCACUCCGCAUACUCAAUCCUAUAGACACCCUUUUAAUCUUUCAAUCACAGACGUAACUCGAUUUCACAAAACAGUCAAGAGUAUUCAAACCCACUUCAUUUAAA
rnacentral:lncRNA from 1 species